rnacentral:lncRNA from 1 species
GAAAUUGUCCUGAACAGCAUUCUAUGUUCUAGUCUCCCUGCUAGAAACAGGAUGUCCUUCAUGCCUUAUCCCAGAGUUUCCUGGGACCCUGGUAUAUAAGACCCAGGAUUGCUGUUUUCUAGAGUCCUCCAGGGUCAGUGCAAGGGGGACACAUGCAGAUAAAAUUCCGUCUAACCCAGGCAGCUUUUCUGAGCCUCAGGGAACCAGCUCACAGUGAAUCCCAAGUUUCUGUUACUCCUUGCCGCCCAUCUAUAAACUGACUUCAUGGAUGUUCGGAUGUGUGUGCGGAUGUUCUGACUCAUUGGACUCGGACAAAGAAAAAAACCCAUGUGAGAACACAAAGAGAAGACAGCCAUCCACAAGCCAAGGAAUGAAGCGUCAAAAGAAUCUAUACUUGUCAACAUCAUGAUCUUGGGCCCUCAGCCUCUGAACUAUGAGAAAAUAAAUCUCUGCUGUUUAAGACACCUAGUUUGUGGUAUUCUGUUCU